CCCCUCUCAGGGUCGCAUCUGGAGAGUUUCCAGUACUCUACCAGUCUUGACUGAGAGAGGGAGAGUCAGGCAAAGGCAUAGCCAUUUCAUUCCUAGCUUGGGCAGUGGCUAGCGAGUGGAAGGUAAUCUGCUAUAAGU
rnacentral:snoRNA from 2 species